CGUCUCUCCAAUGCCACUUCCUCCAUGAACCUGCAGGCAUUUUAUCUGGGGUCACCUAUAGGGCACAGCACAGCGUAGGAACUCAACCAAGGACCAACUUCUUUUUUUUUUUUUUUUUUUUUUGGUUCUUUUUUUCGGAGCUGGGGAUCGAACCCAGGGCCUUGCACUUCCUAGGCAAGCGCUCUACCACUGAGCUAAAUCCCCAACCCCAAGGACCAACUUCUUAACGCACAGCUAACUAGCCUACAUUUGGCAAAGGCCCAGAAGCAGUGUUUGUGGGAGCUCCCGGGAAGCACCCAAGAGCCUUUCAAUUAAAAUUCUCAGACAUAGGGAAGACCCUGACCAUGGGGAGAGUUCCAUCAAAGACAUGCUUCUACUCACCCUGACACUCCUGGCCGACCUUUAUGUCUCGGACAUUGAAGUGGAUAACUACACGGUCCUCCUCGUCCUGUGCCGUCUCAUCGUGGUAGUAACCCAGCGUGCCAUCCAACCACAGAGCAAACCAAUUCCGCUUCCAGCGGCGGAGGAUGGAGCCUGCAUGAUAUUCCAGACCCACCAGGGAAGCUGAGCCCUGAGCCUGCUAGGGUUUGCAAGAGCUCUGGGCCCCAUUACUAUCAUUUCUUUCUUGCCUCUCUACCCUCUCACAUGAGGACAAGGCAUAUAUAUAUAUUUAUAUAUAUAUAUCUGCCAGCCACCAGCCUGACACACAGUAGAGGCUCAAUAAAAGUGUUGAACUGGGCUGGAGAGAUGGCUCAGUGGUUAAGAGUACUGACUGCUCUUCCAGAGGUCCUGAGUUCAAUUUCCAGCAACCACAUGGUGGCUCACAACCAUCUGAUGCCCUCUUCUGAUGUGUCUGAAGACAGCUACAGUGUACUCAUAUAAAAUAAAUAAAUAAAAUCUAC
rnacentral:lncRNA from 1 species